UACGUAGGGGGCUAGCGUUGUCCGGAAUCAUUGGGCGUAAAGAGCGUGUAGGCGGUCCGGUAAGUCCGCUGUGAAAGUCGGGGGCUCAACCCUCGGAUGCCGGUGGAUACUGUCGGGCUUGAGUACGGAAGAGGCGAGUGGAAUUCCUGGUGUAGCGGUGAAAUGCGCAGAUAUCAGGAGGAACACCAAUUGCGAAGGCAGCUCGCUGGGACGUUACUGACGCUGAGACGCGAAAGCGUGGGGAGCAAACAGGAUAGAUAC
rnacentral:rRNA from 1 species